GAUGAACGCUGGCGGCGUGCCUAAUACAUGCAAGUCGAGCGAACGGACGAGAAGCUUGCUUCUCUGAUGUUAGCGGCGGACGGGUGAGUAACACGUGGAUAACCUACCUAUAAGACUGGGAUAACUUCGGGAAACCGGAGCUAAUACCGGAUAAUAUUUUGAACCGCAUGGUUCAAAAGUGAAAGACGGUCUUGCUGUCACUUAUAGAUGGAUCCGCGCUGCAUUAGCUAGUUGGUAAGGUAACGGCUUACCAAGGCAACGAUGCAUAGCCGACCUGAGAGGCGGAUCGGCCACACUGGAACUGAGACACGGUCCAGACUCCUACGGGAGGCAGCAGUAGGGAAUCUUCCGCAAGGGGCGAAAGCCUGACGGAGCAACGCCGCGUGAGUGAUGAAGGUCUUCGGAUCGUAAAACUCUGUUAUUAGGGAAGAACAUAUGUGUAAGUAACUGUGCACAUCUUGACGGUACCUAAUCAGAAAGCCACGGCUAACUACGUG
rnacentral:rRNA from 1 species